UACUAUGAAUACUCAUUGAGAAAUUCAGGU
rnacentral:piRNA from 1 species